rnacentral:rRNA from 1 species
UGCAGUCGAGCGAAUGACGAGAAGCUUGCUUCUCUGAUUUAGCGGCGGACGGGUGAGUAACACGUGGGCAACCUGCCCUACAGAUUGGGAUAACUCAGGGAAACCUGGGCUAAUACCGAAUAAUCCUUCGAAUCACAUGUUUUGAAGUUGAAAGGCGCUUCGGCGUCACUGUAGGAUGGGCCCGCGGUGCAUUAGCUAGUUGGUGGGGUAACGGCCUACCAAGGCAACGAUGCAUAGCCGACCUGAGAGGGUGAUCGGCCACAUUGGGACUGAGACACGGCCCAAACUCCUACGGGAGGCAGCAGUAGGGAAUCUUCCACAAUGGACGAAAGUCUGAUGGAGCAACGCCGCGUGAGUGAUGAAGGUUUUCGGAUCGUAAAACUCUGUUGUAAGGGAAGAACAAGUACGUUAGGAAAUGAACGUACCUUGACGGUACCUUAUUAGAAAGCCACGGCUAACUACGUGCCAGCAGCCGCGGUAAUACGUAGGUGGCAAGCGUUGUCCGGAUUUAUUGGGCGUAAAGCGCGCGCAGGUGGUUUCUUAAGUCUGAUGUGAAAGCCCACGGCUCAACCGUGGAGGGUCAUUGGAGACUGGGGAACUUGAGUGCAGAAGAGGAUAGUGGAAUUCCAAGUGUAGCGGUGAAAUGCGUAGAGAUUUGGAGGAACACCAGUGGCGAAGGCGACUGUCUGCUCUGUAACUGACACUGAUGCGCGAAAGCGUGGGGAGCAAC